AACGAACGCUGGCGGCAUGCCUAACACAUGCGAGUCGAACGAGACCUUCGGGUCUAGUGGCGCACGGGUGCGUAACGCGUGGGAACCUGCCCUUAGGUUCGGAAUAACUCCCCGAAAGGGGUGCUAAUACCGGAUAAUGUCUUCGGACCAAAGAUUUAUCGCCUUUGGAUGGGCCCGCGUUGGAUUAGCUAGUUGGUAGGGUAAAAGCCUACCAAGGCGACGAUCCAUAGCUGGUCUGAGAGGAUGAUCAGCCACACUGGGACUGAGACACGGCCAGACUCCUACGGGAGGCAGCAGUGGGGAAUAUUGGACAAUGGGCGAAAGCCUGAUCCAGCAAUGCCGCGUGAGUGAUGAAGGCCUUAGGGUUGUAAAGCUCUUUUACCCGGGAUGAUAAUGACAGUACCGGGAGAAUAAGCUCCGGCUAACUCCGUG
rnacentral:rRNA from 1 species